UUUUUUUUUUUUUUUAAAAUCUUUUCCUAAAGGGCAUUAAAACGUUAGUAUCACCUUCCAGGUCUUUACCCUUAGAAAUUAGUUCCUAAAAGUAAGACACACUAUUGCACAGGCAUGUGUGUGUACGCACAAACACAGACUGACAGACAGCAAACUGUGGCUUCCAAGUGGCAACCUCCCCCUGAAAAAUAAAAAAUAAAAAAAUCUAAAAAAAUGAAAAAUGAAAAAAAAAAAAAAAAAAAGAAAGAAAAAGGUCAUCCUUCCACUCCGCGCUUCCCUACGAAAGAAGACCAAACAGCUCUGCCCACCGCACACCGGGAUACUAGGGAAGAUGUCCCAACGCCGGAGAACCGGAGACACUAGGAACGCACAGACCUACAUCCCGACCGGCCGAGCUGUAUCUCCGCGUCCGCGCCUCGGUUCCCAGGCCGGCCCCCUCAGCAGCGGCCCGGGGCCGGGGCCGAGCGGCGCAGGCGACGCUCCGGGACGACAUGGCGGGACGGGCCGGGCCGCGCCGGAGCUGCCGAGCCGCGGCGGCGGCAAGUGCCCCGAGCAGCCGGCCGCCGCUCUCCCUUCUCCCCUUAGUUACAGUUACCCCGGCGGCUGCUGGCGCUUCCUUCGAGACAAUGAAAAUAGUAAAAACAAAACAAAACAAAAAGCGUGGAGGGAAGAGACGUCGCGGACAUUUUCCGUCGAACGCGGAAACUCGUUUCCCCUCGGCUCCAGCCCUUGAGCAGAAUCUCCAAACUCCGAUUGCAUCCUCAGCCGAGGUAUUCCAUGUUGACAGAUCUCUCGCCUCCCACAAAAUGGGGCCGAGGAGGCGGCCGCUGUCUCCUCUAUGGGCGCCGCCAUUUUGUGAGGCGGCGGCGGCGGCGCGGCGGCAGCGGCCCGGGGUGUGUGUAAUGGUUGAAUAGAAUGACCCCCUCUAGGGAAUCCCCGGCGCUGACAGUUACGUAAGGGGCUGUGCGCAAGUGCGGCGUUUAGGGAAUCCGCACAGCCCCGGCCACGCAGCUCUGCGGCCCACAUCUCCACCACCCCUAAGAGGACCGGUGGGGGGAAGGGACAGAUGACCUGGCCUCCCUCCUACCCCGCCCCCUCCCUCCCUCCCUCCCUCCCUCCCUCCCUCCCUCCCCCCCGCCCCCCCAGCCAGCCCGGGCCCGGCUCCUCCACUCCCCCAGCCGGGUCUCCGCCUUUCCCCGGCUUCCGUGACACUCACUGGCCCUCGGGUGUCAGGAACUUCCUAGCCACAGCCUCAUUCCAAUCCCCGUUGAAGACACAAACUUUACUUGGGAAAUAAAUCCGUUUCCUAGAGUGAGCA
rnacentral:lncRNA from 12 species